rnacentral:rRNA from 1 species
CAGUCGCCGCGGGAAUACGUAGGUGGCAAGCGUUGUCCGGAAUUAUUGGGCGUAAAGGGCUCGCAGGCGGUUUCUUAAGUCUGAUGUGAAAGCCCCCGGCUCAACCGGGGAGGGUCAUUGGAAACUGGGAAACUUGAGUGCAGAAGAGGAGAGUGGAAUUCCACGUGUAGCGGUGAAAUGCGUAGAGAUGUGGAGGAACACCAGUGGCGAAGGCGACUCUCUGGUCUGUAACUGACGCUGAGGAGCGAAAGCGUGGGGAGCGAACAGGAUUAGAUACCCCUGUAGUCCUUGUCUCUUAUAC